rnacentral:rRNA from 1 species
UACAGAGGGGGCAAGCGUUGUUCGGAAUUACUGGGCGUAAAGGGCGCGUAGGCGGCCCGCUAAGUCGAACGUGAAAUCCCCGGGCUCAACCCGGGAACUGCGUCCGAUACUGGUGGGCUUGAAUCCGGGAGAGGGAUGCGGAAUUCCAGGUGUAGCGGUGAAAUGCGUAGAUAUCUGGAGGAACACCGGUGGCGAAGGCGGCAUCCUGGACCGGUAUUGACGCUGAGACGCGAAAGCGUGGGGAGCGAACAGG